rnacentral:rRNA from 1 species
ACCCAACAGCUAGCCCCACACCCAAAACAACAAAACAACAUAAAUACCCCCUAAAGCACGAUAAGUGACCUAAACUAAACCAUUUUUCCUCCUUAGUACGGGCGACAGAAAAGGACCUAUGGCGCCAUAGAAAAAGUACCGCAAGGGAAAGCUGAAAGAGAAAUGAAAUAACCCAGUAAAGUAAAAAAAAGCAGAGAUUAAUCCUCGUACCUUUUGCAUCAUGACCUAGCUAGUUAACCCUAAGCAAAAUGAAUUUUAGUUUAAUUCCCCGAAACUAAGUGAGCUACUCCAAGACAGCCUAUUACAGGGCACACCCGUCUCUGUGGCAAAAGAGUGGGAAGAGCUUCGAGUAGAGGUGAUAAACCUACCGAACUUAGUUAUAGCUGGUUGCCUAAAAAAUGAAUAGAAGUUCAGCCUUUUGAUUUCUUCAAUUAAAACUGGCAACGCCCGCCCACAAAUAACAAGAAUGUUAAAAGAGUUAGUCAAAAGGGGUACAGCCCUUUUGAAAAAGAUACAACUUUAAUAAGAAGGUAAAAGAUCAAAAAUGGUACAAGGCUUUAUAUUUUAGUGGGCCUAAAAGCAGCCACCCUCUUAGAAAGCGUUAAAGCUCAAAUAUGCCCCUCCCCCAAUCCCGACAAAACUAUCUUAACCCUCUCAACCUAUUAGGCCCUUCUAUGCAAACAUAGAAAAGACCAUGCUAACAUGAGUAAUAAGAGGACUAUGCCCCUCUCCCAACACCCCUGUACAUCAGAACGAACCCCCACUGAAAAUUAACGCCCCCAAUCAUAGAGGGAAAUGAACAAACACCUCCUAACCCAGAAAAACCCCCAACACCACAAGCGUUAACCCUACACAGGCGUGUGCCCGGAAAGACUAAAAGAAAAAGAAGGAACUCGGCAAACACUAGCCUCGCCUGUUUACCAAAAACAUCGCCUCUUGAGCCCUCAACUUAUAAGAGGUCCCGCCUGCCCUGUGACAUAUGUUUAACGGCCGCGGUAUUUUGACCGUGCGAAGGUAGCGCAAUCACUUGUCUUUUAAAUGAAGACCUGUAUGAAUGGCAUAACGAGGGCUAAACUGUCUCCUUUUUCCAGUCAAUGAAAUUGAUCUGCCCGUGCAGAAGCGGGCAUGCUAACAUAAGACGAGAAGACCCUAUGGAGCUUCAGACACCAGGACAGAUUGUGUUAAGAAGCCUUAAGAAAACAAACUAAACCAAGCAACCCCUGUCCCCCUGUCUUUGGUUGGGGCGACCGCGGGGUAACAAAUAACCCCCACGUGGAAUAAGGACACCUCCUUUAAAACUAUGGGCCACAGCCCUAAUAAGCAGAAUAUCUGACCAACAAGAUCCGGGAUACCCGAUCAACGGACCCAGUUACCCUAGGGAUAACAGCGCAAUCCUCUUCUAGAGCCCAUAUCGACAAGAGGGUUUACGACCUCGAUGUUGGAUCAGGACAUCCUAAUGGUGCAGCCGCUAUUAAGGGUUCGUUUGUUCAACGAUUAACAGUCCUACGUGAUCUGAGUUCAGACCGGAGAAAUCCAGGUCAGUUUCUAUCUAUGGAGUGCUCUUUUCUAGUACGAAAGGACCGAAAAGAGGAGGCCUCUGCCAAAGCACGCCUCCCCCCAACCUUAAGAAUUCAACUAAAAAAGGUAAUGGGGCGCGUACCCAUGUGCCCAAGAUAAAGGCAU